rnacentral:rRNA from 1 species
CCCUUAGAUGAUCUGGGCAGCACGCGCGCUACAAUGGUCUUCGCAAACGGAUGCAUUCUCGAAGGAGAAUGCCAAUCUUGGAAUCUAUGCCUUGGUCGGGACAGUUGCUUGCAAUUUUUCGACUCGAACCAGGAAUUCCUUGUAAUCGUGAUUCAUCACAUCACGAUGAAUACGUCCCUGCCCUUUGUACACACCGCCCGUCGCUCCUACCGAUCGAAGAGUUAGGUGAAUUGUUUUGAUCGAUAAGAUUUGACUAUGGUCAACUCUCGUUGUGAAAUUCUGUGAAUCUGACUGUUUAGAGGAAGGAAAAGUCGUAACA